rnacentral:lncRNA from 1 species
GCCAGCAGGCUGCCUUUGGACUCCAACUGCAACUCUUCCCUGGGUUUCCAGCCUGCCAGCCUACCCUGCAGACUUUGGACUUGCACCUCCACAACCAUGAACCGCCAUUGUAUUAGUCCGUUUUCACAUUGCCAAUAAAGACAUACCCGAGACUGCACAAUUUACAAAAGAAAGAGGUUUAAUGGACUUACAGUUCCAAGUGGCUGGGAAGGCCUCAGAAUCAUGGCAGAAGGGGAAAGGCACGUCUCACAUGGCAGCAGACAAGAGAAGAGAGCUUGUGCAGGGAAAUUUCCGUUUUUAAAACCAUCAGAUCUCG